GCUGCUAUAGUUUAAGGGUAGAAUCGUACCUUCCCAAGGUAUGGGCCCGAGUUCGAGUCUCGGUGGCAGCA